GCCACCUCUUUCGAUCUGACAGCAUCUCUGCAUGUCUGGUUAAACCAAUUUUUGUCGUCUGAUUUAGCCGUUAUGGUCUUAACUGGACUAAAUUUUCUCAUUCUAUUAAGAAACAAGGGAUAAUUCUAUCAUAUCAAUGAGCGCUGUCCGAUUAAAGUUUAAGAUCAAUUAUAAGAAGACUCCACUUUUACGCCGAGUGCAAACAGCGUAAAGGAGGACAAAUGCCACCAGCAUGAGUAAAGAAAUAUCAACCUUCAUAGGCAGCCAUGCUUACCCCUGCGUCACGAAGCCGUACCAAAUUGAAAUAAAUUUGAAUUUCUCGAGCCGGGAAAUCCCACUUUUUGAAGGCGAGAAUUGCCAGGAAAAUUUUUAAUUUUUCGGGAAUUAAGAAUAUAGUCAUUCAGACAGACUAAAAUUGUAUUUUAAGAAGUUUCAAAAAUAUUCUUCUAAUAAAAGUCAGGCAAAAUUUUCUGUAAUCUUCAAAAAAAAAAAUCUCUUAAGUGUUUUCAAAGAAUAUUAAAGGGUAACGCAUGAAGUCAAAAAAAGUAGUUAAAAUGUUAAGUAAAACCACACUAAUUAAGAUAUAGCUGAUGAAAUGUGGUAGGCUUUUCGUUCGACCAAUUUCAAUAAGAAAUAUUUGUACAAAAUUUGAAGUGGAUAGUCUUAUUCGUACGAAAGAUGUGUCCUUCCAACAUUUGAAUGUUGCGAAUAGAGAAAUGAAGUUAGUAUAUCAUCGACCAUUGUUGUACUAAAGGAAAGGAAAUAUUUUUCGAAAUUUUUCGAUUUGAAAGAAGUGAAAUGAAAACGAAAUUCCAAACGCUUUUUCAAGUUAAGUGAAAAGCUCAUAACUUUCCUUUCGUUAUGCGUCCUAAAUUUCUUUUAUUUCAGCUUAGUAAGCCGUAUUUCAGCUGGUAUCUGGAAAUAGUUUUCCGCUUAACCUUUAGCCGCAUAACUCUGACGAUUUCAUGUCAAUUUAACAGUUGGAUAACUGUAAAAUUGACAUAUUAGUGUAAUGCUGCAUUCCAGCAAAAACUUGAUUUACAAGCUAUUAUUUAUGGAACGCUAGCUGCCGACCAAUUCAAUUUGUCGAUACUUUUUUCGCAAAUUCGAUACAGGAUCGCGAUACAGAAUAGGAUCUAAACGCAUAUUGGAACGUAUGAGUGGCAUGUAUC
rnacentral:sRNA from 1 species